UCUGUCUUCCUGCUCCUGGUGUAACACAGCUGAGCAGGCAAGACGAAAAGGACGGGAGGUAGUGUACAGCACCAUGAGCUUUUAGCCCUGCCCCCAUAGCUGCUUCUCCAGUGCACACAACUUUUUUUUUUAAGUGUGCUUUUUAUAUGGCCCACGCCUGUUACUUGCCCCAGCAAUUCAUAAAUGAGUUAUGACUCCUUUAAAAAAAAAAGUCAGGAUAAGACGACACCAUGAAGAACUGAAAUCCUGAAGCACUAGCAAGGUCUCUCCGCUCAUGUAGAGGCCCAUCUGCAGUUUGUCAGUAAAUCUGAAUCACUCAGAGAACUGAGUGAAAGUGUUGUGGUCAGAUGAGACCCAAAUCAAGCUUUUUGCCAUCAACUCAACUUGCCGUGUUUGGUGGAGAAGAAGAAAUGUUGUCUAUGACCCUAAGAACACCAUAAAGGGAGAACAUUAUGCUUUGGGGGUGUUUUUCUGCUAAUGGGACAGGACAACUUCAAUGCAUCAAAAGGACGGUGGAUAGGAUUAGGUGCCAUCAUAUCAUCAGGGAGAACCUCUUUCCCUCAGCCAGAGUAUUGAAAAUGGAUCAUGGAUGGGUAUUCCAGUAUGAUAAUGACCCAAACACACAGCCAAGGCAACAAAGGAGUGGCUCAAGAAGAAACAGUGUCUCCAAACCUUAAUCCAAUAGAAAAACCUUGGAAGGAGAUGAAAGUUUGAGUUGCCAAAUGUCAGCCUAAAAAUCUUAAUCAGUAGGGAAAGUUGCCUCUUGAGAUGUGUGCAAACCUGGUGGCCAACUACAACGUCUGACCUCUGUGAUUGCCAACAACAGUUUUGCAGGGGUAAAUCAAUAUCCAUUCAUAACUUAUUUGAAAUGCAUUUUUUCUGGAUUUUUUGGCAUUAUUCUGUCUCCCACUGUUCAAAUAAAUCUAUUAUUAAAAGUAUAGGCAUAUUGUUUCUUUGUCAGUGGUCAAACGUACAAAAUCAACAGGGAUUAAAUAACUUUUUUCUUCACUGUUACUCAUUGUUGAAGUUUUUCAAAUCUCAUAUCAAGCUUGGCCCAAGUUGUAGAAUAUUUUUGUUUUGUAAAUAAGUGUCAUCAUUUUCUAUAUAUAAUUAUAAUAGAUGUCACAUAGUAUAGUAACAUUAUAGUAGAUGUGAAUGUGACAAUAUGUGCAUUUUUUUAUUGUUUCUUUAGUUAUUUGGAACUACACAUACAGUAUAUAAAAGAACUAUGGGUAAUAACUCAACAGAAUAAAUCAGUACAGGUGCUAUGAAUGAAAAGUGACUAGACAUGCAUGGCAUUCUCCAUUAAGAAUGUAUAGAGAUUACAGAAGCCUUGGAGUGCUCAAGUCUUCUUCAUUUCAAUAGAGUCUUACCUUGGAAAGACAGUUUCAAUUGAUGUUCCCAAUGUACAUCAGCUUACAUUUAUGACUAGUGAGUGUUGAAACCUUGGGAAUCAUAUUAUUAUGACUAACGUCUAAUGUAUCUAAUGUAUUAACACUCAGAAUCAUAGCAAAGCUUUUCCUUUCCCUGCACAAAGGUCCAGGUAUCUGCAAUAACUUAAUUUUCUUUAGGUCGGGUGUGUGUUGUGAUAAAAUUGUGAGGUUACAGCAACCCUGCAGUAAAAAUCUGAACAUAUCAGAUUUAUUUAGAUGGUCACAAGGUUGCUUGGGAAACAUUUAAGUCUGUGCAUAGUUGCAAUUUUAUGAUAAUUUUACAGCAAUGAAUGGAAGAUACCAUAGAGCUUUAGCCUUAAAAGGGUUGUCCCACAAUGACAUAUACUAUAUUGAAAGAUGAUAAAGUUGGAAAUGAGAAGUCAUAUUUUCACAGCUUUGCUCAAUUUAAUGCAGUGGAGUUACAGAGUGCAUGCAUGACCACUACCCCACUCAAACUCUCCCUCAUUAGGGGGACAAAGAGGGGGGGGGGUUGACACCCAUUCUGGUGAUGACAGUUCCAGCAGUGGAGUCCUCGGUAUUUGUCACCUUUCGUUAGCAUAUGUGAUAAAUCCCUGUGGCAGAACAACCCAAAAUUUGGAACUCAACAAACUUAAGAUAUUGUGGGUAACAUGCAAGACUUAGUUAGUGGAGACUUUAAAAACAUAGGUUGUAAGAAUAAGCAUCAGUUUAUACAGUAGUCAUGCCCAAGUAAUGACUUCUUAUUUAUGGAAUUACAUUAAAAUUCUACAUAUCUUCAGUUAAUGGACUUAUGUGUAUCUUUAUAAACUAUUCUACUAAAGCUUCCUUUACCAGGGAAAAGGAUUCAGGCAUCUGCUCUAGCCCUGUAUCAAAAUAAGUUGGCUAUAGCGGUAGGGCUUGUUGGCCCGGGGCAUAUCGCUCUCCAAUCCUCAUACUGCACCGAGUUCAUUACCAUUCCUUUAUUAUAAACAGGAUCUUCAGUCUGUAUACAUUAUGUGUGUUUGUUUUCAGCAGCUUUUCUACACAAAGCAUAUUGUAUUUUUAAAGCAGGAAUAAUGAGCGUCCUUCUCUUUUCCCAUCAGUUGAGAAUUGGGAAGAUAACUCAUUAGAUUCUAUAAACAUAAUGAACUAAUGCACCGUCCGUGAGGAAAAACAGGAGAUGAAUUUUUAAGAUACAUUUACAUUUUACUAGAAAAGUCAUUAGCACGUAUCUCAUCUGUCCAUGUGUUUGUGAAGUAUUAUUAUUAUUGAUUAAAAGUGUAAAUAACUAAUUGGUAAGAAAAUGAUUACUCUCAAAGCUUACAAUACUUUUAAAUGUAACAUUCUAUUAAUAUGACUUAUUCUAGCAUUCUCUUCAGUAAUUUUCUUUAAAAACAGGUUUGUCAUGUAACUCUUCUUGUAGAAAGGAACACACAUAUUAGCCUAAUUCAUAAAGAAAGGAUAUUACUACAUGUUGAGAAGACCCUGUUAUGAGGUUUUACUCACAUUAACUAUUUUGACCAACAUAUAUAGAACUCCUGAACCGGAAUAUCAAUAAUGCUUGUUAUGUUUUUACUCAUUGUCUACCCCCACUGUGAUCCUGUGUGCAUGUGCUGAAGCUAUAAGUAGUCCAAGGUGUAGUGGGUGUAUUAUUGACAGUAUCUGCUUACAGCACACAGACAUUAUAGAAGCUAAUGGCGAGACAAUGCCAGUUAGUAGGAUUAUACAAAUUACAUUGUUGAAAACAUCUUCUAUACUAUCUAUUAAAGUCUUUUUUGAGGUUGAAGGACGGUGACAGAUUCCCUUUAUUACACAUACCAGCAGAAUUUACAAACUUUAAACUGCCUACUACUGGCAGCCCAGAGAAACGGCACAGAAAAUGUAGUAUUAUAACAUCGAUUACAGGCAUACAGUGAGUCCACUAGAAUGUGACCUGCUUUUCCUAAUAGGUUCAGAGGUUCCUUCAUGAACCUCUUUGAGGCUAGGGCUACACAGCUAUUUUGGCUGUGGCCACAACCUAACAGACGCAUGAAAUCCAUCUUGGAUGAUGGAUUUCUUGCAACUGUUUGCAGCUAUUUUUGGGUUACAACGCCAACUUACAGCCUUUUCCAGGACUUUCUUCAUGCCCCCUUGGUGUGAGCUACGUAAAACCUCUAAAAUCACACUUCUUUGCGUAGAAGAGUGUGCCUUUAGAGGAUAUACACCACUUGAUACAUGUCCGCCAUAGACUACUUGUACAUGUCUGAGAGCCUAAGUCUACACAAA